GAUGAACGCUAGCGGCAGGCUUAACACAUGCAAGUCGAGGGGCAGCGGGAGGAGGUAGCAAUACCACCUUGCCGGCGACCGGCGGAAGGGUGCGUAACGCGUGAGCAACCUGCCCGUCACUGGGGAAUAACCGUUGGAAACGACGACUAAUACCCCAUAGUUCUGGAGGGAGGCAUCUCCUUUCAGGUAAAGAAUUUCGGUGACGGAUGGGCUCGCGUGACAUUAGCUAGUUGGUAGGGUAACGGCCUACCAAGGCGACGAUGUCUAGGGGUUCUGAGAGGAAGGUCCCCCACACUGGAACUGAGACACGGUCCAGACUCCUACGGGAGGCAGCAGUGAGGAAUAUUGGUCAAUGGGCGGAAGCCUGAACCAGCCAUGCCGCGUGAAGGAAGAAGGUCCUAUGGAUUUUAAACUUCUUUUGUCGGAGAGCAAUAAGGGUCUCGUGAGAUCCGAUGAGAGUAUCCGACGAAUAAGCAUCGGCUAACUCCGUGCCAGCAGCCGCGGUAAUACGGGGGAUGCGAGCGUUAUCCGGAUUUAUUGGGUUUAAAGGGUGCGUAGGCGGUCCGGUAAGUCAGCCGUGAAAAGCCCCCGCUCAACGGGGGUCGUGCGUUUGAUACUGUUGGACUGGAAUGCGGAUGCCGUGGGA
rnacentral:rRNA from 1 species